rnacentral:rRNA from 1 species
AUUGAACGCUGGCGGCAGGCCUAACACAUGCAAGUCGAACGAGCGGCGGACGGGUGAGUAAUGUCUGGGAAACUGCCCGAUGGAGGGGGAUAACUACUGGAAACGGUAGCUAAUACCGCAUACCAUCGGAUGGGCCCAGAUGGGAUUAGCUAGUAGGUGGGGUAACGGCUCACCUAGGCGACGAUCCCUAGCUGGUCUGAGAGGAUGAACAGACAAACUGGGACUGAGACACGGUCCAGACUCCUACGGGAGGCAGCAGUAGGGAAUCUUCCGCAAUGGGCGAAAGCCUGACGGAGCAAUGCCGCGUGAGUGAUGAAGGUCAUCGGAUUGUAAAACACUGUUAUUAGGGAAGCGGUACCUACACAAAAAGCCACGGCUAACUACGUGCCAGCCGCCGCGGUAAUAC